rnacentral:rRNA from 1 species
UGAGGAAUCUUCCACAAUGGGCGAAAGCCUGAUGGAGCAACGCCGCGUGCAGGAUGAAGGCCUUCGGGUCGUAAACUGCUUUUAUAAGUGAAGAAUAUGACGGUAACUUAUGAAUAAGCACCGGCUAACUACGUGCCAGCAGCCGCGGUCAUACGUAGGGUGCAAGCAUUAUCCGGAGUGACUGGGCGUAAAGAGUUGCGUAGGUGGUUUGUUAAGUAAAUAGUGAAAUCUGGGGGCCCAACCUCACAG